AAAAAAAAAAGUUUCAUCUGAUUUAAAUUAUUAGCACUUAAACAGAUGAAGAAUACUGUUUGAUGCAACUUAAAAAUAAAUUCAUGAGUUAGAAGAUAUUUAUGUUUAACUAAAAUUAAUACAUUUGUAAGAAGAAUGCAACAACAUUCUUAGUGCGAUUUGGCAGAGUUAAGGUUUCACAUCAAGGCAAUUUGUAAAUCGUUAGAUAUUUCUGACCACCUCUGUGGAAAAUAUGCCCAGUAUAAAUGAAGCACUUGAUAAUUUCAUUUCUAAAUUUCCUACACUUUUCUCCAUGAGGUACAAAUUUUCACUUCUGUAUUUGACAUUAUCAAAAUCUAUGAUGGGGAAGACACAUGUUCUAAAUCCAAUUAUGCAUGACCGUUUAACCACAAGAGCCAUCCUAUGCUCUGAAAAUUCUGAAUAUGUUCAUUGUCAUCACACAUCCANNNNNNNNNNNNNNNNNNNNNNNNNNNNNNNNNNNNNNNNNNNNNNNNNNNNNNNNNNNNNNNNNNNNNNNNNNNNNNNNNNNNNNNNNNNNNNNNNNNCUCUGAAAAUUCUGAAUAUGUUCAUUGUCAUCACACAUCCACUAGGAAAUUUGGGAAUUUCUAUCCUAUGGAUGAGAAAUUACCACAUGGUUGGUAUACAAGAUGCCUUCAUAAAUUCACAAAGAAAAUGACUUUAAAGUAGUCUUAUACAUUGGUUACAUUAUGAAAAAUCUUUCUCUUGAUCCCUGCCUCUCUGUAACUAUCUGCCAAGCAAAAUAAAAAUUAUGAAGGUAUUAAUAAGGUAGAUAGAGAGUUCAAGUCCCAAAGUAAGCUUUUGUGCCUAGGUUCUUAUUUGAUUGACCCCCAUAAUCACAAAACCCCUACUUCUCUUUAUAGCAUGCGGAUGUACUCCGUGGUAACAUAAACUGCUCAGGGAACACGAAAUAAUGCUCAAGGAUACUGACUCAAGGGAAGGAGAAGUUGCAGUCUACUGCUCUAUAUUUAAUUCUGGUAAUUUCCAUGGAAACAGAUCUGUGUAAGAAAUCACUGUGGUGGAACUUCAUAAUAGAGCCUGUUCGAAUUCACUGCCACUAACUGUAAUAUAUUUAGGAAAAAAACAUCAUGAAAGUAUCACCUACUUGAUACAACAAAAUGAAAUCAGUGAGCACAGGGAAAGACAGUAAAUAAUAACUGUGUUCUCUGUCCACCCGGGUACCACUCUCUGUCCCUCUAAUUGAACAUGAUAGUUACAGUGUUGUCCCAAAAUGCAAGUCCACAUAAUGGUGGCUUUUGAUGUGGCUGCUCGGUUGUGGUCAACCGUACAAGUGAAAGGCAAAUUCUACCACAGUGAGAGAGAGAAAAAGAUCUCUGUUGGACUGAAAUGCUCAAGGUGUUCAGAGAGCUGGUGACCGUCACUGCAGCAGGUUGAAACCCCCAGUGGCUGCGGUAUCUCGGUUCACAUCCCAAGCACUGGGCUCACAGCUCCAGACGAAAACUAGGAUACCCUCCUGCCUCACCACGGUAAUAGAAACCAAAAAUAAACGGGGCGGGGGAUUCACUUUAUUUCAGACGAAUAAACGAGGUCGAUUCACAGCUGCUCGAUAGGAAGUCUCAAAAGUGAGUUUCAGCAGACCGAAAAGGCUUCCCUAUUUAUCUAUCGUACAAGUCUGCAAAGUGUGUGAACGACCAGCAAGCCGUCUUCAUUCGUUCCUGCGGAGGCCUCUGCGGUCCCCCGGGCCCCUGCGCGUGGGAGCCUCCCGGGUUCGGAGCCUGGGAGCCGCCAGGGAGCGGGCAGCGCGUUCCCACGCUCGGCCGGGUUGAGAGGCCGCGGUGACCCUGGGGAUCCUUCCCCCAGGGCCGCCCCGCCCCACCCCGCCACCCCCGGCCGGGCUCGGGAGCGUGGGAGCGCGGCAGCGCCGAGGAUGCGCGCCUCGGGCAGGAAGUGGGGGCGCGGCGGGGCGCGGGGACCCUACACUUACUUGAUGUCUUCCCACACCUCAGGGCCGUAGUUGCGGAUCACCAGCAGCUCCAGCGCGUGAUUCACGAAUCCAUACUGCGGGACAGGAAGACCCGAGCGUCAGGGACUGGCUGCGGUGGGAAGGGGAUUGGGGGCCAGGCCGCCGCAGCUGCCGCCACGGCGCCAGGGAACUUAGUACCCUGCCCCCUGCUUCCGCUCUAUUUGGGGUCCAGGUGCUAAGGAGAGGUAGUACAGGGGCGCAACCUCCGCCCCAUUCAGGGGCAGCUUGUCUCCGUCACUGUCCGCCCCAUCCCCAGGCCACCCCCUCCCACGCUCACCUGUACCCGCGCCAAGGCAGGUUGCGCCCCAGGAGAGCCCGGCGGAGGGGGCGCGAGCCCGACGCCUCUCCGGCCGCAGCGCCCAGACCCACACACGCGGGCCGG
ensembl:lncRNA